UUUUUCUUCCUUUUCUCUUUCUAAGUUUUUUUUUCUCUACUUCUCUUCUCUUUUCUCUCUCUCACUUUAUUUCUUUCUACGCCUCUAAUCUCAUCUUCUCAUUUUAACUCUCAAUUUAAUUUUUUCGUUUUUUCCCAUUUCAAGUUGUUCCUCCUUAAUUCUUCCACUAAAAUCAACUGGUGGAGUUUUGUUGCCCAAAUCAGCUGUCAAGUUUGAGAGGUAUUUGAUGGGGAGUUAGUUUCGGUCGGUGCCGAAGUAGGAAAAGUGGAGCCUGGAAAGAAGGUUCUUUUCUCGGAUAUAAAAGCUUAUGAGGUGGAUUUAAGAAGAGAUACUAGGCAUGUGUUUUGUAAAGAGAGUGACUUGUUAACUGAAGUUGAUUGAAGUUUUUUCUAGUCUUUUGUUUUAAGAUGAAGAAUCAAUUGUAUUUCGAAAUUGAGCAGUUAUUGCAAUUAUAAUGUUGUUCAGUUGUUGCUACAUUUAUGUUAGUAACUUAUUAGAGAUGAUAAUAAUUGUUUAAAUGUUAAGAAAGCUUGGUGUUCUUAAA